AUUGAACGCUGGCGGCAGGCCUAACACAUGCAAGUCGAGCGGAUGAAGGGAGCUUGCUCCUGGAUUCAGCGGCGGACGGGUGAGUAAUGCCUAGGAAUCUGCCUGGUAGUGGGGGAUAACGUCCGGAAACGGGCGCUAAUACCGCAUACGUCCUGAGGGAGAAAGUGGGGGAUCUUCGGACCUCACGCUAUCAGAUGAGCCUAGGUCGGAUUAGCUAGUUGGUGGGGUAAAGGCCUACCAAGGCGACGAUCCGUAACUGGUCUGAGAGGAUGAUCAGUCACAAUGGAACUGAGACACGGUCCAGACUCCUACGGAAGGCAGAAGUGGGGAAUAUUGGACAAUGGGCGAAAGACUGAUCCAGCCAUGCCGCGUGUGUGAAGAAGGUCUUCGGAUGGUAAAGCACUUUAAGUGGGGAGGAAGGGCAGUAAGUUAAUACCUUGCUGUUUUGACGUUACCAACAGAAUAAGCACCGGCUAACUUCGUG
rnacentral:rRNA from 1 species